rnacentral:tRNA from 1 species
GGUCAUGGAUGUGGCUUGGUGGUGGAGCCUCUACUUGCCAUGCAGAAGGUCUCUAGUUCAAUCCCUGGCAUGUCCA